GCAAGCGUUCAUGCGGGUAGCGGAACACUUUACCCUGGUGGAGCAGCCUGGGUCCUGGGAACAGUGGUGAACGGAGGAGUCAGCCUUCCCAGGGCUCUGCCCAGCCCAGUCCCUCCGCAGCCUACGGUCACCUUGCCCCUGUGAUGGGGAAAGUGAAGCUCCAUUUCUGUGACCCCCUCUGUGCCCUCCUCCCAGCCAGUUAAAACUGUUCACUGCUCCUGGAUAAACGUCACCCACGUUCCUCAUCCCAGGGUCACCGCAGUGUCCUUUCUUCCCUGCCUACGUUUGCUCAUCUUUCAGGACAGGAUCAAAUGCCACCUCUUUGGGGAAGCCUUCCUGGUUUGACCCAGGCAGUCAUUGAUUCCUACUUUCUUCAGAGCCCAGCAUGAAGAGGCUGAAGUGCUCUGGUGCCGCUGUUGGUGAUGGAGCUCCUUGAGCUGUCAAGCGUCACACACAUGGCCCACAGGCCAAGCUGGACCACACAGAGCAGCUCCAACAGACCAAUCCGGACCCCACUGUGGAUAUGUUCACUACGUCAUGUCUUGUCUCUGUGAAGCUGGUGGAAGAAAUUUUCUUUGGACCUGUCCUGGGAAAGCAAUUACAAAUUGGUUCUCCCUUCUGCUUUGGCUGCCAGGAAACUGGACGUCAAACUUGAAACGAAACCAUCCCAGCCAUGUGAGACUUUGUGGUCUGGGUAUUUGUGUUCUUUCUCCCAUAUUAAUCAAUGAUUCUUCUGCGUAUGUUUUCUCAUUCUCUCUCUUGAUGCACAUUUCCCCAGUUACUGGAAAGAAUUAUAAUUCAAAGUAAAGUGACUGGGGUUGUAGAAGUUGAUGUUUCAGGUAAUUAUUAUAAUAACGAUAUGACUGCUAUGUAGAAGGCAUUGUUCUUAUUCUUUAUUUGUAUUAUCUCAUUGAAUUCUCACAGAAACCCUAUGUGGCAGGUGAUAUUAUUGACCAUCUUUACAGAUGAGGAAACAGAUAUGAGAAAGUAAAUUAUUUUCCCAAUGUUACAUAGUAGGGAAGCAGCCAUGACAGGCUUGCAAGGUGGGCCAGUCUAACUCCAGGCCCAAGGUCUGAACCAUUACAACUCAGCGAAGGGAAAUAGACACAGCCUGUUCAGGCUUUGGGCAACUUGUCUUUGCUUAUGUGGAAUGAGAGAUGUCAUUUAGGUAAGAGGUUGCUGAGGCCUGGUUUACUUAUUGGAGCAAUUAGGGAAGCUGAUGUAUCAGAGUAAGGCGGAAGGCUCUGGAGGGCUCUGGCAGCCUCCUGGAUGUCUCACUGUGCCCUGGAGUGAGGACACUCAUGAGCAGAGCCAAGGAAGUUAUUUUUGUUCUGGGAGCUUCUUCCUACACAUCCUGCUCGCCCCUGCAACUCGAAGCUUCAGCCAGGCCAAUUAUUUGCAGACCCACAACACUGCCAGCUCACACACCCUCCCAUCCCUGGGUGUGAACAUUCUACAUCUUGUUCACCCCCAAGCUUUUCCUGGUAGACUCCAGUCCAUUUCGGGAAACAGCUCAGUAGUUCCUACCUCCAGAAGCACUUUCCUGGGCUAAGUGCCUCUGUCACGUUCUCCAGGCUUGCAACUUGAUGUCUUCUCCUUUCCUGUUGCACUGAG